rnacentral:rRNA from 1 species
UACGAAGGGGGCUAGCGUUGCUCGGAAUCACUGGGCGUAAAGGGUGCGUAGGCGGGUCUUUAAGUCAGGGGUGAAAUCCUGGAGCUCAACCCCGGAACUGCCUUUGAUACUGGGUAUCUGGAGGUCGAGAGAGGCGAGUGGAAUUCCGAGUGUAGAGGUGAAAUUCGUAGAUAUUCGGAGGAACACCAGUGGCGAAGGCGGCUCGCUGGCUCGAUACUGACGCUGAGGUGCGAAAGCGUGGGGAGCAAACAGG